rnacentral:lncRNA from 1 species
CGAUAAAGAGGCUUAAAGAGGAAUUAUCAGAUGUGCUCGGAAGGAAAGGAGUUUACAACAGACUUUCUGCUUUUGCCAUUGUAGGAUAUGAGAAGAGGUGGUGAGAUCUUGCCAAGACUUUCACAAAACUAUUGCAUGCCUUUUCUGCUACCAGUAAUGUACUGAAGUCAGGGAAAUUGGGAAGGAUGUGUUAAUAAAAUAAAGUGAGCUCCACAGUGGACAUCUUGAGGAAUAUGCAGCACUUCUACCAUUCUUUUCUGAUGACCAUGGGCAUCUAGUCCAGGCACCUUGACUUAUUUGAGUCCCAGUUUACACCAGUUGGGGAGGCCCAGGGACUCCACUGUCCUCUGCUUGCUGGCGAGCUGCAUGUGCUUUGCAGGAGUGCAGGAGUGCAGAAUGAAUGGCAGACACAGAAGUGAG